CCUACGGGUGGCAGCAGUGGGGAAUAUUGCACAAUGGGGGAAACCCUGAUGCAGCGACGCCGCGUGAGUGAAGAAGUAAUUCGUUAUGUAAAGCUCUAUCAGCAGGGAAGAAAAUGACGGUACCUGAGGAAGAAGCCCCGGCUAACUACGGGCCAGCAGCCGCGGUAAUACGUAGGGGGCAAGCGUUAUCCGGAUUUACUGGGUGGAAAGGGAGCGUAGACGGCAGUGCAAGUCUGGAGUGAAAGGCGGGGGCUCAACCCCCGGACUGCUCUGGAAACGGUACGGCUGGAGGGCAGGAGUGGUCCGUGGAAUUCCUCGUGUAGCGGUGCAAUUCGUCGAUAUUAGGAGGAACACCAGUGGCUACGGCGGCUUACUGGACUGUAACUGCCGUUGAGGCUCGACAGCGUGGGGAGCAAACAGGAUUAGAUACCCUAGUAGUC
rnacentral:rRNA from 1 species